rnacentral:snRNA from 1 species
GUGCCCACUUUGGCAGCACGUAUAUAAAAUGGGAACAAUAGAGAGAAGAUUAGCAUGGCCCCUGCACCAGGAUGACUUGCAAAUUCAUGAAUUCUCUCUCUCUCUCUCUCUCUGUC